UACGUAGGUGGCAAGCGUUGUCCGGAUUUAUUGGGUUUAAAGGGUGCGUAGGCGGCCCUGUAAGUCAGUGCUGAAAUAUCCCGGCUUAACCGGGAGGGUGGCAUGAUAUACUGCGGGGCUAGAGUGACAGAUGAGGUAGGCGGAAUUGACGGUGUAGCGGUGAAAUGCUUAGAUAUCGUCAAGAACACCUAUAGCGAAGGCAGCUUACUAGGCUGUAACUGACGCUGAGGCACGAAAAGUGUGGGGGUCAAACAGG
rnacentral:rRNA from 1 species